AACCUUAAUAUUCCUCCUCACUUGCAUAUAAAAGCAUACUAAACUUUCCCAAACUAACUAAUUUAGAUAAGCCACAAAAACUAGCAUCACAUUGUUUCCAAACAAACAAUGUCAGGUUCUCUUCUACAAUUGCUUCGUCUCUUAGACGGCAAUGACGUUGACGACGAUCAGGUGGGGACACGGCCGCGACACACCCGUAAUUCUGAUGUCGCUGCUCGUCGACCUCGGCAACAUGCCAUACCACAGGACCAAUCGAUUGAGUCAUUUAACAACACAGGCACACAAAACAUGACAGGUCUUAUAAACAACACUGGUUACACCAAAGGCAAUGGUAACGGAUCCAUCGUCUUUGGUGGAUUUGACUCUUCCAAUAGACAUUAUAAUUACUAAUCUUGUACACAUUAAAAUGAUGUAAUGUUCUGUAUAAUAAACUUUGUGGCACCUAAUAGUUAAAUAAAAUGGUGAGGUUUUAAUACCUACCUCUAUCUCUUAAUAAAUAUGAUCUAUAUUUCAUUUUAAGUGUCUCCUAUAAAUAUGAUCCUAGUAGAAUAUAAAGUGAAAAACAACUAUAAAGAGAAUUCAAUAGCUUCCCCACAAAAAACAUGUGAAAUUAUAUUAUUAAUGUACACAACCACAUUCAUGUACAAAACAUUUAUCUUUGUAGAAAGUUGGUCCAACAUUAGAUUGAGUACAACAUUUCUGCCUUUUCUUAAAAAUUAAGGAGUUUGAAGUACUUUCCAAAAUCCAUUAAUAACAAAUAACAUUGGGAUAUUUUGGUCCCUCACUAAAAACACGCCGGACAAAUUAAUAAUACUUAACAAAAAAAAAAAUUAUUUUUUUAGUCUCACAAAAAUAAACUAGCACAAAUUAAUCAUUUUAUUAAUUUUUCUCCUAAUCAAUUUUUUAUUCGGUUUUGAAUUGUGAUUAGAUAAUGUGAUAACCCAUAUGUUAUUUAAUGAUUUACGAAAAGGAAAUGAAAUCAUCGCACAAAGGCAAGAAACUAUAAUUUGAAAAUAGAAAUACAAAAAGAGAUUGCAAUUUUGUGUUUCAAUAAUUUUUGUUUUCACUUGUAGUCAUAAAUCUGCAUCAUUUCCUUUUUUAAUUUUUAUUUGAUUUUCAAACGAGGAACUAGUUGAUUGAUUUUCUGAAAAUAAAAGCAAUCUAAGAUAAAAAUCCUUAAACCAUUUGCCACUCAUUCAUUCACCAUACAAAAUGGAGAUACUUGCACCAAUAUUCUUUCUACCUUCUAAGCCACUCCUUUAGAAAACCACUGAUUGUCCACAUAAAUAGAGCAUAAAUCUAUCCACCAAGAAGAAGAAUUCUUGCUAGACUAAUUAUAAUCAAGGUGGGCAUUAAUUUCUUUUAAAGGACCAUAUGCAGAUUCCUUAUCUACCAAAAAUCUCCACACCACUUUUUCAAGAGUCUUAGACUAAACAUAUUGAAGCCCUUUGUUGGAUUAGAUCAAAAGAGGGAUUUCUUUUCCUUGUCUCUUUUGAUGUUCUCUUUAUUGAAUCUUGAGUAUUGUAAAAAAUAAUGAAAAUAAAGAAAGAGACUUUUAUCAAUGAAAAAGGGAAUAUUUGAAUUGAAUUGUCAUAAUUAAAAAAAUUAUAAACAUAAAACAGGACAAGAGAAAAUAAACAUGUAAGAUGCUGCACAAAGAAGAUGCUAAUUGUUGCACAAAAUUGUAAAACUUGUGUAUAUACAAUGCAUUAGAUUCCAUUCACUCUCACUAGUUUACACUAAUUGGAUGCGAUAAAGAUAAUAUACAAGUUCCUUUUAAGAUAUUUUAAAAUAAAUUACACACUUAAAUCUAAUGCAUUAUACAUCAAUAGCAUUUUAUAUAAUAAAGUUUUUUCACAUGAUAUCUUUAUUUUUGUAUAUCAAUAGCAUUAUACAUCAAUAUCUUUAUUUUUGUAUAAAGAAAAUGAUUUAAAAAUGAUAAUAAAGAGCUUAGGGUUAUAAUUACAAUAAUUUUUGUAUAUUUUUUUCUUAAAAAUAUCUUUAUUUAUAAAAAAAACUCACAUCACUUACUAAAUUUCUCCAAAAACUUAAUUCGUGUAAACACUUUUUUUUUCUAAAGAACACAAGCAAGCUUCGAGUCAUUCGUAAUCUAUUUUGGUAUUUAAAUCUUGUCUAUAUAUUUAAACCCAACCUUUUAAAAAUACUAUUAUUUUAAAAAUUUCUUAUAUAUUAUUAAAGAUUUAUAUACAUGAAAUUCAAACUAAAAUGUUCAACUUAAUAGUAUCGAUAUUCAAAUUCUGGUACCUUGCAAUUUGACCCAAGAAAGUCGAAUUUUGAAACCUGUCACCCUGUUGUUAGCCCCGCUUAAGCUCUUGAAUUUCAUAUACUCCUUUUGUUCGGUACUAAGGAAUUUAAGACAUUUUAUAUCUUCAUUUGCUUUGGUACCAGAAAUGUGAAAAAAAUAUAUGGAAAAUACUUCUUUGAACUGUAGUCUUCUACAGAUAUUUUUUUGGAUUAAAAUUUUCAGCAUUAGAAGUCAUGUUGAAUACAGACUUUACAACUUGACUUGAGUGAGUAGAUUGGUUUAAGGAGAUUAACUCAUUACUUUUCUUUUUUUCGUCAUUUUUUUAUUUUAUUUUAGAGGAGAUAAAAAAUUUCACUAUAAUUAACUCAAAUAACUGAAAUCUUAGAUUUGAACUUAAAACAAGACAUCUAAUUUAAUAUUAUCAGCAUUUUCUAUUUGAGCUCAGAUUUAAAAGGCUUAUUUCCGUCCUUUUUAUAAAAAAUAGUUGAUUUUAAAAUUUGAUUAAUAAAAGUUUAUGUAACUAAUUCAUAAUAUAGAUUAGAUACAUAAAUUUUUAUUGAUUAAAUUGUAAUCGAGUUGUCAAAAAAAUCCAAAACUCUAAAGUCUUUUUUAAAAAAUUUCUUACGAAACUCCUAAUAUUAAACCUCUUAUUAAAAUAAUUUUUUAAAAAUUUCAGGCAAUUAUUUCAUUAUUUCUUAUGGGCUUAUAGGUCUCCAAUAUUUUUUUUAAUUUUAAAAUAUUUUUUUCUUGAAAAAUUUUCAAAAUUUAUUUUCUUGAAAAAAUAUCAAAAAAAAUUUCUCAAAAAAAAAUUUAAUAAUUGUUUUCUUAAAAGAUUUUGUGAGAAAAAUUUUUAAAAUUAUUCUAAAAAAAAUCAAUUCUUUUUUCUCGAAUUAAAAAAAUUAUAAAUCAUUUUUUAUCAUAAAAAAAUCAAAACUUAUUUAUCAGAAAAUUUUAAUAAAAAAUUGAAAAUUAUUUCUCGACAAAAUAUAUAAAAAAAACCACAAAAUUUUAGAGACUUAUUGGUGUUGAGUCCUUCUUUUUUUACCCUUCCAACAUCUGAACUAAAGUGAAUUAUUAGUGGCCUUGUCAAAUUUGUCACUAACAAAAAAUAUCAGAUAGAGUAUUUGAUACUUCGCAACACAUGUUUGUGAGUGUUGUAAAUUCUAAUAUACUGAAUUUCGUUCCUACUAAAAAAAAAGAAUACCUUAUUAUUUUAAAGAGAAUCAAACUAUUUAUCUCUUAAGUUGAUACAGGUUUGUGUGAGGCAACCAAUAGCCCUAAUAUUCUCUUUUUUUGCAUCUAUAAAAAGGCCAUUUUCCUUCAACAUUAUGCAUACAUAUAUCACAUUACAAAAAGCCAAAUUAAAGGGUUUAUUUUUCUGUUUGAUUGACCCCAAUGGCAGGGAUGGUAAGAGGUUUUGCUGACUUAAUGGAUGGAGGUGGUAGAAGCCAGGCUAUGGCAAUUCAGCCUCAAUCUAAUCCCUACCUCAAUUCUCCUCUCCCUGUUCAAGCACCAGCAGCUAGCUUUCUCAAUGGAGACAAUCAAAAGCUAUUAGGUGUUACCAAUAACACCAACAUCAAAUUAAAGGGCGAUGGUAAUGGGGCGUUUACGCUUGGCAACUUCAAAUGAAUCGGCUGUGUCUAGUUACAAAGAUGGCCUUCAUACAUAUAAAUAAAACCUAGUAUUAUGAAAGUGCCUAUAAAACUACUCUAUGCAUACUUUGACCCACUUGUAAUAAGUGUAAAUGUAAUAAUCUUAUCAACAGCUUAUAAUAAAAAGUUAAGGUUAAUAUAUGACUAUUAAUUCAUUUUAUCCACGUUAGAUAUAGUUUACUUUUCAAUACAUUUUCUUAUUGUGGGAUCUUAAAAGGAAGGACAUCCACUCCAGCCUCUAUCAUUGACACUUUCAAGAAAUAAUAAAAAAAAUAUAUUAAUAAUAGUAACACAUUUUUCAUCAUUGACAUCUUAUGAACUGAUAACACAAAUCUUACUUGACAUCUAUUUUUUUCAUUCAAAAGAUAUCUUACUUGGAGAAAACCAAAUUCCUUAGCAGCUAAAGGACUAGGAGUUGAUAAAUGUCUGUAGUCCUUUGCACGGACAUUCUAAAGAAAUAAAGUGGUUAUUCUAAUUCUAAAACUAAAACAUACCAGAAGCCAGAUGGAGACGCUCAGGUGCACAGGAUGUGUGAGAGCUUGCGUCCUUGAUGACAUCUUAUUACAUGAUAACACAAGUGUUGAGUUGCCUCAAACUUUUUUAAGGGAAANNNNNNNNNNNNNNNNNNNNNNNNNNNNNNNNNNNNNNNNNNNNNNNNNNNNNNNNNNNNNNNNNNNNNNNNNNNNNNNNNNNNNNNNNNNNNNNNNNNNNNNNNNNNNNNNNNNNNNNNNNNNNNNNNNNNNNNNNNNNNNNNNNNNNNNNNNNNNNNNNNNNNNNNNNNNNNNNNNNNNNNNNNNNNNNNNNNNNNNNNNNNNNNNNNNNNNNNNNNNNNNNNNNNNNNNNNNNNNNNNNNNNNNNNNNNNNNNNNNNNNNNNNNNNNNNNNNNNNNNNNNNNNNNNNNNNNNNNNNNNNNNNNNNNNNNNNNNNNNNNNNNNNNNNNNNNNNNNNNNNNNNNNNNNNNNNNNNNNNNNNNNNNNNNNNNNNNNNNNNNNNNNNNNNNNNNNNNNNNNNNNNNNNNNNNNNNNNNNNNNNNNNNNNNNNNNNNNNNNNNNNNNNNNNNNNNNNNNNNNNNNNNNNNNNNNNNNNNNNNNNNNNNNNNNNNNNNNNNNNNNNNNNNNNNNNNNNNNNNNNNNNNNNNNNNNNNNNNNNNNNNNNNNNNNNNNNNNNNNNNNNNNNNNNNNNNNNNNNNNNNNNNNNNNNNNNNNNNNNNNNNNNNNNNNNNNNNNNNNNNNNNNNNNNNNNNNNNNNNNNNNNNNNNNNNNNNNNNNNNNNNNNNNNNNNNNNNNNNNNNNNNNNNNNNNNNNNNNNNNNNNNNNNNNNNNNNNNNNNNNNNNNNNNNNNNNNNNNNNNNNNNNNNNNNNNNNNNNNNNNNNNNNNNNNNNNNNNNNNNNNNNNNNNNNNNNNNNNNNNNNNNNNNNNNNNNNNNNNNGAAUAAGUUUCACUUUCAUCCAAAACACAGUUAUGUAUGACCCAAUAAAAAUUUGAAGUACAACACAGUUAAGCUACAUAAAUUGAAUAAGGUCAUGUAUUUAGGUCCCCAUAAGGCCACAAGAUUGGAAAUUAAAAGCUAAUGGGGUUCCCAACAAGUCCACGACAUAUAAUUAAACAUUGAAACCCUGAUAAACAAAUAUAGUCGAGUAUGUCAGUUGAUGCAAUAAGCUCAAGCUCACAAAUUUGAUGUCAUCGUGUAAAUGCAAGAAAGCCCCCAUAAAUAGAGAAUAUACAAGAACCAACUCAGUUAAAAAAGACAAACCAUACAAGAGUUAAGUAACAAACGAGAUUAUCUGAAAAUGAAAGCAUCUGAUGCUUGAAUCAAUUGCAAAAUCCAUCUAACUGCUUAAGAAUCACAAAAUACACAGAGCACCUUCGAUGAAGACAAAUGUUAAGAAAAAAUCAAACUUUCAAGUAUCUUCAGGAUAACAAAGUUUAUGAAAGGAAAUACGUACAACCCAUGCAUCUAGCAAAGCUUAUUCUACAUUAUAUAUCUGCUGAAACUUAAAGAACGUAUCUUCCGAACUGCUCAGACACCUACUCACCAAACUCUUGGCUGUUCCGUACAUUCUUCAGUAUCAUUCAACGUCUUCGACUAUGCCUCCUCUUUCUCCUGCUUCUUUUAUCAUCAGAAUCAGAGUCUGAACCAGAAUCUGAAUCAGAUGAUUCUGACGAUGUACUGUACCUCCUGCUUUUUCCUUUCUUCUUCUUCUGCUGCUUCUGCUUCUUCUUCCUCCGCCUCCUUUCUUCCUCUGAAUCAGAUGAUGAGCUGGAACUUUCAGAAGAAUAAUCCGAUCCAGUAACAGACGACGACCCACUUCCACUAUCAGUCUCAAACACCGAAUCCUCACUAUCACUACCAGAAUCAGAGGCAGCUUGAUGUUUCCUCUUGGCCUUUUUGGAACUCACUUUAGCCUUUUCAUCCUUAGCCUCACGAUGAUCAUCAUCUAAAUCAUAACUCACAGACACAUCCGGCCUCAAUUUAGGGUUUUUAAGUUGCUGUGUCCGAGACGGUCUCGAAAUAUAAACCCGCUCAUUCUUGCAUUCAUACGUCCAGUGACCACUCUGGAAACACUUUUGACACUGCGCAGUGCCACCGAUGGUUGACAUAGUCGGUUUGAGUUCCUUCCUUUCACCCAAUUUAACAGCUUUCUCAGUACUCAUCAAAUACAUCUGCCUCUUAGCUUCCCUUUUCUCCUGCCAUCUGCUAGGACCUUCUUCCUUCUGACCAUAAGCAUUGACAUUUCGGGCAGCAGCAGUAGCUGCCCUUUCGGCCUGAGCACGACUGAGACCUUUGGCAGCACUCAAUGCUGCAGCCUUGAUUCUAUCAGCUGCAACCUGCGCUUUCUCUUCCUUCUUACUUGACAUUUUCUAUUUCAAAUCUGUUACGCAAUAUCAGAAUCACGGUGCGGAGUGAAAACUAUUCUGCAAUAAUACAAAACACAGAUAUAAAAUACUACAAAACUGAACAAUAGUAUACAAAUUGGACAUUCAAUUGAAAACCCCGUAGGGACAAGGAAAUUAAGAUGAGUUUUCAGUUUUCAAUAAUCAGUUAUCAUAUUAGAUCUGAUCCACUAUUUGAUUAGCGAUACAACUGAUAAACCUAACAAGAGAACACAAAACAUGGCAUGAAUCGCGACGCUUUUGCUCGUAAUGGCGGAAUUGAGGUGUGGAAUGGAGCUCUGAUCGGCUGCAACGCAAUUCAAUGGUGCGUUGCCAUUUGCAACUACCGUGGCCACAAAUCGAGUGCGCUACAGGGGUGCAAGAGGAGAGGGGAAGGAAAAUACGAAGAGAGAAAAGAAAAAGGAAAACCUGGAUCGGAUGAAUUUGUCGGUGAUUGUGGCGGAAGACGACCAACUCCGGUUGCGACACCAACUUUUUGUUUCUGGUAAAAGGCCAAAUCCGCAGCGGCUGCACUUCCCCGCUGAGAUUUGUUGUUUUAGCCUUUUAGGGUUUUAAUCGCUCAAAUGUGUUUAAUUUUGUCUUUACUGAAUCAUACGCCUUAUAACAAAAUAACAAAUAAAGAUAUUAAAAUACAUAUUUUUCAUCUUUAAAUUUAUUCUAACUUCGGCUAAAAGUAUUUAGUUUUUUUAUCCAUAAGUCUUUACGUCGUCAUCCAUUGAUAUAAAAAAUUUAAUAGUUCAGUUAAAAAAAUUAUGUGAUUGUUACCAUGUAACAUAUGCAUAAUAGUAAGAUUGUAAAUUAAAAAAAUUAAAAAAUUCAAAUUGUUCCAACUUAAAAAAAAACAACUUAUUGUAAUCCUAACUUAAUUUUAAGAUUGGUCAUUUAACUUUGUAUCUAAAUCAUUUUAGUUACAUUUCUUCUUAAUUGUCGCCAUUUAAAUUAUAAUUGGUUUGAUAUUAAGUAAAGUCUACGGUAUUCUAAACGAGACAUUUAUAAACAAAAAUUACUUACAUUUUUAUAUGACCGGCAAUGGAUCUUGUAUUGUCCCUCUGACGCAUAAGAGAGAUGUGGUAGAGAGCAACAAUAAGAACAACAAUGGUCACCAUGAUCCCAUAGAGGAAAUUGUGAAGACUGUAGAGAAUUGAAUGUAAGAGACACAACUGGGAAUAGUCUCAUUUUUUAUUUAAAAAACAAUCAGUAAGGAAACUGGAAAGUUGGAGAUUUUGGCUUAUAAAUGGUGGCAUAAGAAAACCAAAAUCCGAUCCCAAAAAAUGAAAGGUAAUAAAGAGGAUAAAGACUUGAAAAAUGAGUAAAACAUUAACUAAAUUUUAGGUACACAAACAGCGGCAAAAUGGUGUUCUUCAAAAAAAAAAACAUAAAUGAAAUGGAGGGAUUUUUUAUUUAAUUUUUUUUGUUAUAUUUUGAAACUUAAAACUCUAGCUUAGAUUCUCCUUGAGGAAAAAUGUGAAGCUUUACAAGUAUAAUUGGAGCAAUAAUUUAAGAAUUCUGUUAUUUAAACACAUCAAAAUCUAUUUUAAUAUUGUAUUAAUGAAUAUAAAUAUCGGUCUCAAGAUAGAAAGAAAAGUAUUUGAAUAAAAAAUAAUGUAUAAAAAUAUGGCAAAAUCCAAACUUAUGUUAAGAAAUAAUUUUUUUUUAAUUCAAAAGAGUAAAGAUAUUCUUGAGUCAUAACCAAACUUUAUUAUAAUCAAACUAUGAGAUUGUUAAUUGUUCAAUUAAGACAACCUCUAAAUGUUAAACACUAAGACUCAAGAAAUUUAAAAAAUCAUUAAUGAAACAAAAAUAACUUAAAAAACAUCAUACAUGAUAUCAACUAAGACUUAUGGAUUAGUCCCCAUAUUUUUUAACUAUUUAUCAAGUUGUAUUUUGAAUCCUAUUGAGUACAAAGAGUAUAAAAUAAUAUGAUUAAUUUCUAUUACCAUAAAAAACAUGAUUUGUUUAAAAAAAAAAAAAACUUCAAAAAAACAAAAUGACGCCGAACUGAUUCAUCAAGUUAGUUUUAGUUUGAAUAUCGUAAAAACAGAACAAAACAGAUUUGUUAGACUCCCAACACUUGAGAUUGUUUCCUUUUGAAACAUACUAGUGUUAAAAAGUGAAACUCGCAUCACAUUUGCAAAUGCCCCACAAAAAAUCACGUUUUUCUUUUUCCUUUUCUAUUUGUUUAAUAAAAGAAGUUAUAAUUAGUGGUACUAGAGGCUUACAUGGGCUAUAAUAUAAAAGCUUUUGACAAAGAGAACUACAAAUUCAGAAAGAAAUCUUGCUACAAGUUCAUUUUAAACAAGUACACCAGAAGUAAUUCUCACAAAUCAUCAUAAGAUAAAAAAAAACAAAAUAAAAAAAAAAACUAUAAAUCUCAACAAGGCACUGAUUUAGAAUAUCCCUGUUAGAAGAUUUGCAGCAGUUGAGAUAGCUGCUCCAGUAAUAGCACAUUCCACAAUCUGUUCAUGAGAUGAGUCUUCUGAUGUUAAUGCAAGUGUUGCCCCUGUGAUUGCUCCAGCUACUGCACUAUUUUUCUGCACCAACACACAAUAAACUAAUAUUUUAGACCACAUGUAAUACAAGGAUUAAAUAUCCAAAACUUUCUUCAUCUUUUAAGCUAAUACAAGCAUGUACAGUACUAUCAUAAAUUGUGCUUUUAGAGAAGAUUACCCAGUCAUGAGCACCGCGAGCUUCCUUCAGCCCAUAUGUGAGUCCUGAAUAUAGUCCUGCAGCCAAUCCUGCAUUUUAGAAGAAAUUUGUUUGUAACAUCCACAUGCCUUCUAGAUAACUCUCAUCGAAUACACCGAAAACCCCAUGAUUGGUGGGAUAGCCGGGAUAAACUAACACAGACACAAACAAACUUGAAAACUAUGAAGCACUGACACAGACAUCAGACAUAACAUUGACACUGAUAACAAUUUGAGUAAGUAAAAGUGAUUGAACCGAUAAAACUUUGAGUAAGUAAAAGUGAUUGAACGCGAUUAGAUAUGUUAGGCUCUAUGGGGGACACUGAAUACCGCCUCCAGUCCGAAGCAUUGGGGCUACAUAGUUUGAAAAUGUAGGCAUACUUACAUUCCUGAUGCAAUUUUGGCAUUUAUAAUUUAUCCAAAACUAAAAAUAGUAUCUAAAAAUUGCCAAAUUGACAUAUACAUAAGCAUAUGAUGUCCUUUCAAGUUAAGGGAAUGUAACAUUACCCCAUUGGAAGGACUCUUNNNNNNNNNNNNNNNNCUUUCCCGGUGCUUUUUACCUGAUCAAGAAAAAGAAAAGACAGCAAUUAACCAAAAAGGACAGAACAUAACAAAGGCUAAAAUAAUUUUGCACAUAUUGAAAUUACACUCACCAUGGCCUCGAUGGAUUUACUGCUGGUCUCUCCUGAAUGUGCCAAAAAAAAAGACAGAGAAACAAAUGUUACUAUUCUCCUCUAAAAACACUAUAAAUUAAGAUUAUAAGAGGUUGCCAAAAUUGGUAUCAUAAUUUAGAGUCAAUAUGUUUGAUAAUUUUAAUCAUUUCAAGAUUCACAUUAAAUUUGUAUGCUUGAAAUUGACUGGUUCUGAAUAUUCUGCAUAUGCAUAUUAUUCUGCUUUUUGUAAAUGUUUGCAGUUUGCAUGUACCUACCUCUAAGACCAUGUAAACGAUGUUUCUUGGCUGCAGAUAUUUCUGGAGGCAUGCCACUAGUAUUAUCAAUCCCAGUACCUAUAUAUAUUAUUCAUCCAAAGCAUAUUAAUAUUAAACUAACACACAGAAGUAACAAAAUGAUUUCUGGUUUGGUGGAGUUGGCGUGACAAAGAUGUCAUAGGUUCAAUGGUUCAUUCAACAUAAUUAAUAACUAAUUACUAAUUACUAAUAAUUACUAAUUAACAUUGGCUAUUUCAGAUUUAAAAAAAUAAAAUAAAGACACUUAUAGAAGAAAAACAAGAGGAAGAGUUGUUUUAGGCUAUUUCAGAUUAAUAACUAAUUACUAAUUAACAAAGAUGAUUUUUGCAAAAUAAAACUCAUAAGAAACGUUAAGGGGAAGAGUUGCACCUUCAAUAGCCGUGAAAUAGGCUUCACGAGACACAGCUUGAACUGCUCCAAUCUAAAAAUAAGAGAUUUAAAAUGGCAUUGGAACAUAAUAUAUAUAUAUAUAUAUAUAUAUAUAUAUAUAUAUAUAACUUCACAUGAAAAUGAUAAAAAAUAAAAAUUAAAUAACUAACUGCUAUAGUACACAUGCAUCCAGUCCAAUCCAAUCCAAUCAUAUAAUACUAAUGGCCCUUUAUUUUAAAAUUUCUCUACAAAUAUUGUGAGAUGUGAUUGAAGUUAUAUGUAAAAAAGUGAUACACCAAGAAUAAUAAUAAUGGAUACAAAUAAAAUUGGUAUAAAAACAUACCCCAGCAGCUUUGACAAAACUCUCCGCUAUGCGGUUAACAAGAGGAUGGCCAAAGUCGAAGAUUCCACCUUUAUUAAAAGUACUAAGUUCAUCAAGAAGAGAACGAGUUUCCAAGUUGCUGCUGCUAUUCAUCUUAACUACACAAAACAAACCCUUUCUAUUUUGCUCUCAAUGAAACACCCAAACACAGACACAGAAAAAUAAGUAACAAAACAAAAGGAGUUACAUUACAAACAAAAUAACCGACUAUAGAAUUCGAUUAGUGCUUUGGAGAACACGUGUUUCAUUGACACACACGUGUAUGUUCCUAAACAACGUGGAUCAGGAGUUAGUGGCAACCCAUUUUGUUUGCAACUUCAGUGCGUGAGAGAGAACUACUUUUAAUUGCAAGUUAAGUGAGACCGAGUCUUUUUCCAUCCACGAUCCAAAUCAAACCGAUUUUCAUGUGUAAUGUUCAAAAUCACGCAACUCCUUCAAAAAUUAAAUACAUACAAUAUCCGAUUAUGCUCUAAAAUAUUUUAUGCAAACAAAAUAUAAGUAACAUUCUGAUAUAAAUAAAUAAUAAUGAAAAUUAUACCAACUAGUUUUUUUUUGUUUGCAAAAACUAUACAAAGUAGUUGAAUUGCAUGCGAAUUUAUAGGAUUUAACUUGUAUAUGCAACAUUUCUACGUACACAUUCAAUAACAUUUCACAAUAUAGAUAUAUUUUUGUAGAUAUUUUAAGAACAAACUUAACAGAGUCAUAUCAUAUUGUAAUUUGACUGUGAUGUGUACGUCAAAAAGUUACAAAUUAAUCUCAAGUUAAGUUGAAGUAGUUAUGAUGCGACUCUUCCAUGAAUAAAAUUAAUGACAUUAAGCGUGAUAGGUCAAUUUUUAUUGUAUUUAUUAUUAUUAUUAUUAUUAUUAUUAUUAUUAUUAUUAUUAUUAUUAUUGUAUUAAAUUUUGUAUUUUAUGUUAAAUGGUAAAUUUGCUAACCUUUUAUGAAAUUUAAACAUUGAUUUAUUUCAAUUUUUGACAUAAAAUUUAAAUAUGAUGUCAUAUAAAAUUAAAUUUUCUAAAAAAUUAUUAGAUAUCAAAAUAAAAUGUAAUCACAAUAGUCUAUUAACAUUGUUAAACUAUUAACUUAUCAUUACAUAAUCUUAUAUCACUCAUAACUUAAAUGGCCUAUUAACAUUGUUAAACUAUUAACUUAUCAUUACGUAAUUUUAUAUCACUCAAAGCUUAAAUAGCGUAGAUUUUAAGUAAAGAUUAUAUUUAAAUUAUGUUAUACUUAACAUAUCUUAACAAAAUAUUCUUAUUUUUGUAAGAUUAAGCGUGUGAUUGGAUUUAAAUUUACAAACGGCUACUUUAUUCAACCUCAUUUUGCAUACGAAUAUUUGAAAAAAAAAUUGUGUCGUCUAAGUAAAAUUCUGAAAAGAAAACAUAUGCAGUACGAAAGUAUACAUCCAAAAGCCUUUGUAGCAUUUCAGAAAUGUGAGUUUAAAAGAAAGUAACGAUUUUUUUAUUUUAGAACUGGGGUGAUCAAAUUGGUAAUAGGCCCAACACAUUACGACAUUUAUGCAAUAGCUGUUAAUGGUGCUUCGAGAGUUUUUAGCUUUGCACUGGUUAAAUAUAUAAUUACUAUAAGCCUUCAAAUCUAUUUCAUUUUAUGAACUAACCGGGUUUAGCUACAGGACUUAUCGAACAAAAAAUACAGCAAAUAUAUAAAUAACAUUGGAAAAACACAAUGACACGUACUACGAUUUUUAAGCUGGUACCACAGUUAGCUCGUCAAGAUUUGAAAAAAUUCCUAGCAUAGCAGCAAAACUGGAAAAAAUAACAUAACGGCACCCUAGUUUCAACUUCGAGUGGGCUGUGAGCUGUACGAUACAAAAACCGAAAAGACUAACGCAAAAAAGGUAAAUGUAAAUCCAAAUACGAUGUGGAAGAACAGCACAAAGAGACCAUUGCAUACGCAACAGUUUCAUAGAGAUUUACAAUGGAUGACGAUUCCGAAUACAUAUGUGAAAAAAUGGACCUAAAAGCUCACUGCACAUUUAUCCAUCCCUACCAGCAUCCACCACAAAAAGAAAAAAGAGAGAAGAAAAAACAUAAGAAAAACCUGUAUUGGGCAAAAUAUUGGCGCCCCCUAUCAUUAAGUUUAAAUAACAGAAGAGGAACAAUGAUAAAAAUAUCACCUCUCAUCCACACAUUGGGUCCUCCGGCAAAAACUACAAAAGUAAAUAAAUGACCUGGAAGAGGUAAAAUUUGGAGAGGAGAAAAAUACAGAGUUAUUGCUCAGAAAAGUUAUGUAAAAGCAACAACCACUAAUCUCAAAGCCCAAAAUAGCAGAUUGAAGAAAUAGGAGCAGAUCCAUCCACUUUUCUGUAUUAAUAUUCUCCCGCCUUAGUGGUGCUGUACAAUACUACCUCCACACAACAUGCCCCCGAUGCAACGGAUGACCAGAACUUACACCCUUGUAGGUAAAAUUCCUUUAUCACACAACGCAUGCUACUUUGAUAGUCAGCAACCACAUAGCCACCAGCAAAUUUAUACGUCAAACAGAAAAACAAUCUGCCUUCCUGUAUGAGUGUAGAUGCUUAUGAUCCAUUUACAGCCAUCUCUGGUGAAGUUUUAGGAGGAACUAGUGGACGUUCCUCGCCACCCAAUUGUGUGUUAUCCGUUUUUGCAUGCAAACAAUCAGAAAAGCUUCUAGAGGCCGAAGUAUCUUGCUCUACAUGGUUAUCUUCAGCUCCUAUGUUGCUAUUAUCAGAGCUGCUUCUAGAAACAUUUUCACCGUCUUCCUGAUUGUCUUCACUAGAGCUCAUCCUCCCCUCAACUGUCCGGUCACCCAUAUGAAUAUUGAUUGCAGAUUUCUUACUAGGUAGCACAGCUUGGCUCAAUGUUGAACACAAGGCAGCAAAAACACUAUCUUUAGAUUUUGAAUUCUUUGGUAACUUCUGCUUCUUCACAAGUUCGGGCUCUUUAUCCUUUGAAGGAAGUUUCCUUUUCAUCCUGAGAGACUCCAUUAUCCCUUCAUCUUCCUCAGAUGCUUCUGGCUUCUUCUUUGGUGGUGGUUUAUAAUCUUCAUCAUCCUCGUCGUCUUCAUAGUCAACCAGUGACCUUCGACUGAAAAUCAAGAUGAGUACAUAUAUUAUCACAUAUGGACUUCUAAAAAACGAACAAAUAAAGUAGACAAGUAUACCUUGACUGUGGAUAGUUUGAAGUAACUCCAUUGGAAAGAAUAGGUUGUUGAGGACCUUUACGAUCACGUGGAACAGAUGCAGACGCUGCAUCCUCCUCAUCACUGAUCAAAUCUCCCCAAGUUCAGAGACUCCACACCAAUUGCAUAAAAAAUAAAAAAUUGUUAUAGUUAAGAAAGAAGAUAUGCACCUGUCCUCAUUAAAGUAGCGUUCUUCUUCUUCUCUCUCCACAGCACGCUCAUCAAUUCGUCUUCGAAGGUCCAUUACCGCAGCAGCAUUUGUCCCACCAUUAUCCACACACUGCAACCAUGCAUGUAAACUCAGAUCUAUGAACUUAUGCCCAGAAAACAUGCAGGUAAAAAAAAUUACCUGCUCGUAUUUUACUUUCAACGAGUGAAUUGAAACCAAAUGCUCAAAUUUCACCAGCUGAUCCCAAAAAGAAUCCACUAUGUAUUUUAGCAAUAAUUUCAGAUUCUCCUACACAAUACAACAUUGUCAGUGUAAUAUUGUUUUAGAUGGGGAAUUUAAGAUCCACAAUGAAUAGUCAUCAAAGUUACUUACCUUCCGGAUAUACUCAAAAAGUUCCAGAACAGCGGAAUUGAGAAGAUUGUAACGAUUACCAUUAGCAACAAAGGCAUCUAUAAUUGGGCUGAGAACAUUAUUCCUAACGAAAUAAUUUAUCAUAUGCUCAUCCUGCAGGUUAAAACUUAAAAUGUCAGAUUUACUGCAUCUAAAGUAGACAAAUGAACUCUGCUGCUAUAUAACAAAUAACAUUUAUUUUGAUUCUUAAAAUAAUUGGUGGUCAAGAAAAAGAAAUUGCAACAGACAAAAUCUAGCUCAAAAUAAUGGUGUUUAAAAAUAUCUUAAGGGAAACAAUAUUUUAAUUUAUAACUAAGCUGUGAGGAUAUCAAAUCACCAUUCAAAAUUUAAAAUCAUGACUCAAGAAGCUAAUAUUCGAAUUGUGGAUUGUAAACUGUAUCAAAUAUAUUUACAGUAUUUCAUAAUAGAGGAGACUCCCCACAUUAAAACACCAUGCUACCAGUGAAUUCGCUAUUGACAAAACCGAUUCCCUUAUAGUAAAUCAUUUUUCUCUUCAACCAAUUUACAAUUUUCCCAAAUUGCAUUACAAAAAUAGUGCCUGAAUGUAUAGACUUACAUGCCGGGAGAGGACAGUUCGAACAAACCGGACAGCACUGACAACUAAGUAUCUUUCUGCUCUCCGUGUCAGUAGCAAAAUGUUUUCAAUUGUAUUAUUAAGAAGAAAGUUGCACCUGAAACACAAAGGAGACAUCCAUGAUAAAAAAAUUCAUGAUUAACAGCAUAGAAUUCAAUCUGAUUACUGAAAAGCAAGAAGGCAAUACUUUAUCCUGUAUGGGUGAUGAAGGACACAAAAGCAUAGUAAUUCACAUAUGUUUGAUAAUAUCUCCGGUUUUGUUCCGUGUAGAAACCGAACUCUUCGUCCAGGACCUAUUGAUUUGCUACUUGCAUCGACAAUAUUUUCUGAAGGACAUGACGCUAUUAUAACAUCAAUCAGUUGACCCAAAUGCUUCUCAAAGAAGAUGUCAAUAAUAGUGUCCCUCUGUCAGAUGAAAUUGAAGUAGUCAAUAAAACAUGUUCAGGAAUACAUAUCUUACCAACAUAGUAAAAGACUUCCAUCUUACGUGAAACUUUAAUCGACAACUUUUUCCAACAAAUCAGCAGACACAUUAUAAAACACAAAUCAAUAUUCAAAUAUUAUACCUGCACAAACAAACUUAAGUAUGUUGACUUCAAAUGCAUUGCGAGAAAAACACCUUGACUCCACAUUAAGUUUUAAGUGGAUAACUUUUCCAAAAAUUGGUAAAUAGGAGCAUACUAAGAAACAUAACACUGACAUUCAAAAAUUAAUCAGCUAAUUCACUCCCCAGAUUUACAACUGACAAACUUGCAAAAUGAGGAAAACAACCCCUCCCCGCCAAAUAAAGUUUCAAGAAGCUAGCUAACUACAACAUCCAAGAUAGACAACGAAUGACACCAGUGAAAAGGAGCAAAGUGAUGUACUAUUUAAAAACUAAAUACAGGCCUUCUAAAAAAAUGUAAAUUCAUAACUAAUAUCCAGAAAUGGAACUUAAGUCAAUAAAUUAUCGAUCAAGGUUCAAGAAAAAACAGAAAUAGAUACCUGCGGUCCAGACAAUGUGCUCGAGUCCAAUAGAAUGCGAAUAAUCUCAAGAAACUGGCAGUGCAUGCUUUCUCCAAAGUCUGUUACCAUUCCCUUAACCUGUACACGAUAGCAUGAUCAAUAAUUACAUGCAGGACUAGCCUUCCAAAAAGCAUAACUAAAUACAUAACAGAUCAACUAAUAGAAGUUGGUGUUAGACUAUACUGCUACAUGUGUCUAUUAGUGUAACAGUUGGUUCAGCUAGAAUCUCUUAAAUUAAGUUAGGAAUGGUUAUAAUGGCUGUAAGCUGUAACAAAUCAGUGUAGUUUUGACUGCUGCAACUGCACUUAGAUCAGCCUGCCUCUAAUAGAGGUAGUUUUUUUGUAUAAACCCAAAGGAUCUUGAAACAUUGUGAGAAUUGGGCCUACCCAAAGGAUCUGCACCAGUUACAUUUAUAAAUUUUGAAGCCUUCUAUGAGGAAGCUAAACAUCUAUGGCAAUGGUCUGCCUUUGCUGUUCUGUGGUGCCUUUGACAGGAAAGGAAAACUGGAAUCUACAAGAGAACUUUGUGGUCCUUAUACAUCAAUCUCUUAGACUCAAUGUCCUUUCUUGGAUUACAUUUUAUCCUCUUCAUGCAGUCUAAAUAACAGAAGUACUUAUCUAUUAAAACAAUACUGCUCAGUGAAUCAUUUAGAAAAGAUGAAUGAAGCAGGAACGUAAUAGGGAUUUGUUCAGCAAAACAAAACCCAAAACCAAAAACAAUUAACUGAAUUUUCAAAUCUGAGUUACUGUCAAACACAAUUUAGAAGCUAAUUUCAACAAACCAAUCCAUCUUAUAUUGUUUCAAACCUAUUAACCCCCUUUCAAUUUUCUGUAGAACCAAUCGAAAAUCAUAAUUACUUGUUGCAGUAACAGUCACAAGUCACACUACCAAAACAGUCAUUGGUUUCAAUCUUUAAUUGCUUUCCUAAUUUGGCUCUUGUAUCAACCAUUACCAAGAUUAUAAUAUCCCUUGCAUUCAAUCUUUCCGGUCAUUAGUAUUACCAGCACAAACUACAUAUCGCAAGUUCAGCACCACAUAUUCUACAACAGUUUGCACUUUGCAGCAAGAUUUGUGACUAGCAAACCACAACAAUUGACCACUGGUUUCAAAAUUGCAAUGUAGAGGGUGCAUACACUCACACACACAGAUAGGUUCAUCAACAAGGUUUUUUAUUUCUGUAAAUUCUUUAUACUGCAAAUCAACCAAAAAAGAAUAUGACCAUUUACAAACAAAAAGUUGAAUAUGAUCCCAUUUAUAUACAAACAGCAUACCAAGAGUCCUAGAAGAGCAAUUCCUUCCUGCCGAACAACGUAUGAUCGUAGAAGAUUAGGAUCCUGAUUCAAAAAAAGAAGGAGGAUGUCUGUUCUGCAACCAUCACAAUGAAUUCAUAUUAGAAUUUAUUCAUAAAGAAGUGUACAAACAGAACAGUCAACUGGAGUAUAUAUAGACAACUAACAAAGAGGAAGAAUCAAUACCCAGUUAGCACAAGUUUCUUGUCUUCACUUUGCAGAACAUCACCAACAAUGUCAAAGAUGCCUUCAUUCAUCAGAUCCCUACAAACAUUUAAGAAUUUGAACCUACUAACUAAUGGGAUUCAACGAACAACCAAAAUGUAGAAUAAAUUGCAAAAAAAGGUAAUGGGGAUGGAUUAGGUAUCAAUGUUCUGAGUCAAAAGAGUGCUGUAAGAGGUCACUUAUAACAGCUCCCUUCAAAAGCUAUUACAGACAUAACUUUUCACAAUUAAUAUCAAAAGUUGCCUCUAUCAGUUGUAGUUAAUUGCUAAGUAAAAACGUCUUAAUUCACAGAAAGUUAAAAUAACAUGAUGCACACAAAAUUUAAAAUAUUGAAAUUUCCAGUAAGGCUUAGUCGAAAACAUCUAAUUAGGUCCAUGACCACAUAGGAAAGUUAUGACAGACCAAGGAGAAGUGGCUCCACAGAAGGCUGCCAUAAGCUCCCAAAACAAGGGGAAGAACAUUAAGCAGCGGACUUUUUUAUAUGCCUUACCAAAAUAAACAGCCAAUUGAAUAAUGGUAACCAAUGUUUAAAACAUAGGACGGACAACAAGCAGCAAAACAGGUUGUGUCAAGAUACCAAUGUAACAUACCUAAAAAGCCGAAGCUGCUGGACCAUCUGUAAGCUCUUGCUUACACUACAAAACUCAUACAAGAAAUGGACCUGUCCAUCCCACAUAAGAGGCAAAUUAUGGUUAAAACAAGAGAGGAAUCAACACACUAAGUUCUAACCAUAUAUAACAAUACAAGAUAGGAAGCAAUGGGGAAGCAUUAACAUCUAAGUUCUAACCAUAUAUAACCAAAUUAUGAUUCAUGAACAUUCAACAGGGAAGCAUUAACAUCUAAGUUCUAACCAUAUAUAACAAUACAAGAUAGGAAGCAAAACACUAACAUGCUCAAUGUAUGAUAAUUUUAUAGCCUUGAUUAAUUGCAAUGCAAUUAUUCAUGAAUCUACAAGUUACUUUGUUAUGGACUUAUGGUGCAUCUUGAUGUACAUUACGUUAUCAGAAGAGAAUAAACUUUCAAAGACUACAUAUGAAUACCUAAUCUGUUUCCUUAAAACUAAAGGGGAAAAAAUGAGACCAUAUGAAUGCAACACUUCUUAAUAAAAAAUACAUUCCAGAAUACAAGGUUGAAGUCCAUAAAGACAUCGGGUCCAUGGAUCAAACAUCACAUUGGUAUAUGCAGUGGUCUGAAUUCUGAACACCGAACAAGAUGAAACUAAAGAACAAGGAAACAUCUGUUAAAUUCGACUGAGUUCAGGACAAAAGCAUGUGCAUUGUUUAAUGAGUUAAAAACUGAAACAAAGGAGUAUCCAUAGCACAUAAAAGUUGUAGUUAGCAAUGAUCAAGAAUGUGACAUAAGAUAACCUAUCAAUUUUCUAAGUUUUGAAACAAAUCAAGUGAUUGGCAGAAAAGACCAUAAAAUCUACAGGACAGAUGAGAUAGCUUAUUGGGAGUCUAUUCUGUCAGUCAAAUUUCAUCAAAUUGAACCAAUUGCGUGUGUUCGUAAAUAUAAAAUAAGCUAAAUCUCUAGAGGGGGACAAAUUUAUGCUAUGGAAGAACAAUGUGCUGGAAAUUGACAGUAGAACAUUAUAUGUUUUUUUAAAACUGUAAUUUAAUUACUAUUUAACCUCAGUACCAUACAAUUUUAGUUAUUUCAAAUUUCCAGUAAAUAACUAUAAGGGUUGUACCGAUAUUUAAACCAUAAGGCUAAACCAUCCCAUUUUCGUCCCCUAUUGGCUAUUGACCAUUAAUCAUCCAAAUAAAGAACACACAACGUUUCUCCAUUCUAAUUCAAUAUCUCGCAAACUCCAAUUAUAGCCAGAGAAGCAAAUGAUAGGAUAUCUUUAACAAGACCUACCAAGUUUUUCUUUGAUUCUUGAGAGGUGGUGGGUGAUUUUAACCUAGCAAACAACUCCUGGAUAAAUGUAUUGUCGUCCUUCAACAUAGCAAUAACCUAGAAAAAAAAUAGAGCAGUCAACAAUAAAUGCAACACUAUAUUAAAUGAUUAUUCUCUCUCUCUGAUAAUCAAAACUUACAAAGGCAUUGUUAGCAUGUAUUAUAGAGGUAAUGGUUGCAGAAGUAGUGUCAUCUAAGACUCUGGCCAAAACAACAUCCUGGAAAGUGAGAAAAAAAGGUAAGUUCACAUUGAAGAACCAGGGUCAGCAGAAGAAGUCUUAAAAGGAGCCAAACCUUCAAAUAACCAACUCUAUAUGUCUGAUGUAUCUUCGCUAGUGCAAUGGGAUCUUUUAUAGGUAUGGCCUACAACAGAAAAUAGACAAUAUACUAUCGAGGUAAAAAAUUCUGACAAAAAUUAUGACGCAUUGUCAAAGCUACCCAGCACCUUGCAGCUCUCUAAAAAUGAAAGAUGGGUCGAAAAAAUACCUCCUUAAAAACAACAUGGUCCUUUAAGAAUUCACGAUGAUGCUGAACACAAGUAAUUUCCGGAUCAUCUGCAUAUUGCUAAAACAAGUGGUUCAGCAAUCAAAAGUAGUAGAGGAAAAGAAUGAAGGCAUCAAAAUGAAACCAUCUAAAUCAAUGAUACCUCCUAAACUGAACCCACUAUUAGCAAGUAAGGAAUGCUAUACCACAAUCAAGAUAUCAAAACAAUUUAAAUUUAAAACUAAAAACUGAUAGAGAAAAGAAAUAUAUUAUUAUGGAAUAUGGAGUAAUCACUGAAUGAGAAGAACUCGUCAGUCGAUUGGGAAAUUAAUUUCUGAAGAAUGCACUUACACUCAAGGGCACCGAUGAUGUCCACUAUAAACUCUUCCUUAAAAAUCCUCUCAAGAAUUGGUGGACUAUUGAGUAAAACUGCAAGAUUACAUGUCGCAGAAAUAAAUAAAUACAAAAAUGACCAAAUAGGGAUCCAAAUAAAAAUGAUCUAAAAAUGAAUACUGACUGAUCCCUUUGACGAUUUUGAAAAUCAUGUGAAGGCCGUCCAUGUUUUCCAAGUCUUCACACACCCUAAAUAGCCCCAUCAGCUUCCGAAUAAAUUCUUGCUACAUUAUAAACACAAAUUAAAAAGGAUGGAUAUCAUAUACAAAAAGAGAAAAGAUCGAGUAAACACAAUCUAUUUGGCACUCUGCCAGAUGAUUGAUGUGAUAUGUAGGCUUCCAAAUAUAAAAGGGAAAAGAAAACACAGCACUACUUCAUCCAUAUUUAUUUGUAGAGAAGAUUUUCUAACAAAAUUAACUUAUGAAAAAAAAAAUCAAUAAUUCUUGAGUCCAGUGUUAUCAAAUGGUGGCCAUGGCGGAAAGCAGGAUUUCAACAAUCCACCAUGGUCAUUUUACACGUGAUGGCGGCUAUGGCGGCCAAAAAUAGCGGAUUUUGCCUCCACCAUCGACAACAGUAUGAACUUAAAUGUUAACAAAUCUUUCCAUCAUUACCACAAAAGGGACAGGUUACAAUAAAUAUAUAUAUAUAUAUAUAUGAACAUAAAUGACUAACAGAUCUACAACAACAGUGAGACAUCAACAAGUCAUGCAGAGUGAAGGUCAUACCAUAUGAAGACAAAGUAUGCACAAAUACCCAAAGUUAAUGUCAGCUUACAUUACUUAAUAGUAGCUCUGUUAGCCGUAUUUGAUCUGUAAUGCUGCUGUCAACAACAGUCUGCAAACCAAAAAGCAAAACUGAUUAAAAUGAAAUUGAAGUUUCAUAGAUAAAAGCAAAUUAUUUCUAACCCAAGAAUAAGUCUUAUAGUAAGUAUUACAUUACUACAUUCAACAAUACCCAGAAUUCUUUUUAUUGGAUAAGAAUGAGGACAAAGUCAGUAUCUCAGGCACAACAGCACAAUGGUUAUGAAAAUUCGUUUUAUUAGAUGACAAUAAAGAGAAAAUAUAUGCACAAACCAUUAAAUUACAUAUUUACAACAGUACAAUUCAAGUAACAUCACAAACAAGUUUGUAUUAACACCUCUACAUUCCAAAUGUGCAGGAUCACUAACAAAUAUGUUGAUGAACCUACACAGAACAUCCAAAACGAUUUGAUAUUAUAAUUCCUGUAGUGCUCAGAUUCAUGGAUCAAAGAAAAUAAUGUUAUAAAUUGGCUUGCAAGUUGCAUUUAUAUUAAAAAAAUGAAAGAUGCUCUUCCAUCCCCCCAAAAUUCUUGGCUUUUUACCGGAUUCUAAAAUCCGGUAGUGUAGUACUCCAAUCUGGUAUUGAAAAAUGGGAUUAAUGAUGUUACCAGAAGCUCCAAUUUGGUAGUUUUUUUGCUCAUUUUGAAUAAACAUUGGGGGGGGUGGAUGAGCAACCACCAAAAAAAAUUGAGCUCGAACCCAACCUAAUGGCCAAAGUGCCUUGUACAGCAAUUUUUUAGUUGCUAGUGUGGUAAAUCAGAGUCACAGUCGUAUAUGUGUAUACUAGGUCUAGAAUUAAAAGUGCUGAGCUGCGUAGUUAAUUCUCAUAUUCUUCAUUAGUCAUAGUGACCUUUCUCUGAUUCACCAGUGUAUAUAGGAUUAUAGUUUAUCGAAAAAUGAACAAUUACGUUAUGCAUUUAUUUCUCUUCCCCCUAUUCUGUUUGCACACCUGACUGUACCUAAUAGACAUAAUAUCACUCAUAUGCUUUCGCCCAAUAUCUCAAUCCUGAAUCAUGAUGCUGAGUCAUUUCUAGAUGUACAAUUACAAUCACUGCAAACUUCACAGAUGCCCAUUCCUUGGAGUGAAAAGGGUACAUUAAGAUCUAGAUUGGCUACUGUGAAAAUAGACAGCUACUAUAUAGCCAGAGUUCUCUUAAAAAUGUAUUGGGCCAACCUCCUCCUUGAGCUAAUUUUUGUAGUCAAGUUAAACCAAAUCUAUUCUCAUUCUAAGAUGGUUUUAGAGUCAAAUGUCACGACCCUUAUCUUAGGCCACCCACAAAUGUCCAGUUUUGCAAACAUCAUGUUCUAGAAGUCAUCCUAGGCAUGAGGGAUGUUAAGAUUGCAUAUCAACUAUGACCAAAGAACUCCAUUUGAUGACUUCAGUUGUCCUUCUCAUUGUGUUAGUGCAUUGUCCAAGUUGAUUCUUGUAAUUCUCACAUGUUAAGGUGGGUGGGCAGUGUUCGAGUUUCAAGCCAAAAGGCCCCAAGUAUAAGGGGGUGUGUCAAAUGCAAAACCAUUCCCAUGUUUCCACCAAAAAAACAUGAGAUAUAAUAUUAACAUGUUCCGGUAGUUGGUUUGUGAACGCAAGAUAAUAUAAUACAGAAAUGCAAUCCCAAAUUCAGGUUGGUUGAAGAAAUCCACUCAAAAAGCUACUGACUACUUCUUGUAUAUAGUUUUCCUUGUCAUCUCCAGAAAUGAAAAUAUCAUCCCAUUUCUCGUUACUUAACCCAUCCUAGCCCAACACUGAAUUGAGAUUGCAUCAACAGCAUUCCCUAGCAAGCUCUUGAUGAAUUUACAACACAAGGUCCAAUGCAGAACAUGAUUCGCAUAAUACUCUCAAAUCACCCAAACGUGAAAUUAUUAACAGCUGCGUGUGUCAAGAGAUUCAAAAUUGCUAAACCACACUAUGAUUAUUUAUCAAGAAAAAAAUGUUAAAACAACAACUGCAGAUGGAACCAGUGAUAAGUAAUGGGUUCAAAUUUGAGAGGGGGGUAGUUGGCUAAAUAAACCUCUCGUGUUAAUGGCACUCACUCCCUAAGUAACUGAACAUUUAGGACAACGUACUCUAGAAAGUAAAUAAACAUGUCUAAAGCAGAUCCCAUCUUAGAUAUUGAUACAAUUACGUACUACUCCUCCUCCCUUUCGUAUGUCUCGCACAAUGCUAAGUAUUAUAGAUGUGCUUAUCUUGCGCUUAACUGCAGUUUGUAAGGCUAGUUAGAAUUCAACUAGAAGCCUCGCAUGUAUCAGUAAUACCUUCAUCUAACAGUGUAACUAUAAAUACAUGUAACAACUGUAAUUUUCAUAAUGUCAAUACAGUAAUAUUCAGAUCUAUUUCCCUUCAUUUUUCUUAGUUUCUCAAGCUCUAUUAGAGAUAGUUUCAUAAAUUUAAUAAUUGAUAUGGAUUUUAAACUGCCAUAUUUUUCUGAAGUAUGCAUUAGAAAUCAUACGACUUGUUUUCAGUUAGUUUCCUAUUUUCAAAGAUCUAUGCAAGAAACAGGAAAUGAGAUACAGUUUCGCAAACCAAAUGAACUCUAAAUCAAUUGAAUUCUCAGUUGCAAAAAUACCGCCUUGUUUUCCCUUUGUUUCCUGUUCUCAAAGAUUUAUGCAAGAAACGUGAAAUGAGAACAGAUAACAAACAGACCAUAAAUAAAUGAAUUACUGAAGUUGUUUCAGAAUUCGUGUAUGGUAGGCUAAAAGCAAACAAAGCCACAGCUAAUCUGACUAAAAUAAUUCUCAGUAAUUAAGAGACAAAUUGAAGAGAGAUGUGAUGGACAUGAAAUUUAAUAUUAUAAUUACACAAAAAUAAAAAUAAACAAACAAGGAUAUUAAAGCAAUGCCCAAACCUUAAGAAUCAAAGGGAGUGUCGAUAGCUCAACAGCAGGCAACUCCCUUAACUCACUGUUAGCACUUUGAAAUGGCUCAUCUGAUAAAAACAACAGAAAAAUACAGCCACGACAGUCGGACAAAGGCUAUAAAUAGUAAAUAGUUUGAUUUGGCAAAUAAAGCAAAAGUAAUGGUCAAACACUGUAGUAAUAAUCUGAUUUGACAAAUACUUCGACGUAAUGCUUUUGGUCAAAGAAGCAACAAUUUCAAAUAAUAUGUAAACAAAUAAGUCUUUUUUGGCAAAUACAAAAGCCAAUUGUACCAGCAGGGGUACAGAAGAGAUUAAAAAUCGACAUCACUUACUAUUUAAAGUAUUGAAAUGCAUAUUCCUCUGCGCAUUGCAAAUAUGAUCCCUGAAUGAAACAAGCAUAGUAAUUAAGCUCAAUCCACAUCAGCAGAAACAAGACUCCAAUAAAAAGGGAAAAAAAACACUAGUUAUUCUUUGUUACCAUAUGUAAGAGCAUCCGCUAGGCUCUUGAAAGCUAAGCGCCAAUUCUGUGGCAUAUUCUGGAUCUCUCCAUGAGAUUAUUGAAUCUGAGGAGGAAAAGCAUCCAUCAACAGAUAAAUGCAAUCAGCUCUUAAAUGUUCACAUUCAUAGAUGAAUUGCAAUGCCCACUACUGAUAUACAUAUAUACUAAUGAGAGAGAGAGAGAGAGAGUGAAUAGAUAGAGCGCACAAGAAGUUGCAAAUUACCUUCUUGCUUCCUAUAAAUAUCAUCAGAACUGAUGCGAUGCAAAAGUAUGGUCUCAUUGUCUUCUUCGUCAUAAACAAAUAAGCCCAGUUCCUCUGAUCGCUGCAUUAUAAAAUAUAAGAUAUUGUAUAUAUUUUUAAUGCAGCGAAUCUCAAAGUUUGUCCAAUUCAAAAAUAAAAACCAGCUAUAAAUAAAUAAUAUACAUUGGCAUACAGUAAUAUGCAUGCUGGCCAUCUAUUCUAUUGAAUACUAGGAUGUAUAUAAACCACGACGAUUUUAUCAUUAGGAAGAGAGGAAGAUGCAAUAGUAAUCAAAAAUAAGAAGAAAGAAGUACUCAUCGGUAAAAUAAAUACACUUGCUAGUCUCUACGGAAGAUAUGUUUUAAAAACAAAUAUUACAAAAUUCAUUAUUCAAAGGACAGAGAUAAAGUGUGUAUUUGGUUCUACGAUUGCUGAAAAUUUUGGUUAAAAGUUGAAUAUAAAGUGAUUGAUUUAUGUUUUGAUACAUUCAUGUAAAUAUGAGUUGAACAAUAAGUUUGGGGAUAAAAAUCAUGUUUGGAGGCAAAAGUAAUUCCCUAAUUCUAAUUCAUAGCACUUGAAUAUGUCAAAAUCAAUUUUGCCUCCCACAAAAGUGAAUCCAAACAUGCAGUCAUGGACAUAAACAAAAAUUAGUAUGCUUUUUGAAGACAUUUAAAAUUAUUCUUAUGAAAAUGAGGUAGGGAAUGCAAUGUAGCGUCAUUCAUUUCAAGUUUUUAUAAAAAUCUCACGGGUAUUAUUAAUUCCCAAGAAUGAUACUUAACCAUCAUUUCUCAUUUUUAUUCUCAAGUUAAAGGGUAGGAAACUUACAUUCCCAUGAGAGUAAAAGAUACUUUGUAAUACAAACCAUUAUAACUUCCCACUCCUACCUCAUUCUACAACAAUUGUUCUAAUUUGAAUUUUUAAAAUUUUAAAACCAAAUAAAUUUCUUAUAUUCCUAAGAUUACUAUGAAUUAUACCUAGUAUAAGUAUUCCCAGUAUUUUCUACUUACUAAUGAUAUUUCAAGGAAAAUGAUUUUAAACCUUGAAACGACACUUCCUGAGGGAAAGUCAAACAGAUUUAUGAAGUAGGCAUGUCAGUCACAGAUGAAAGCUUCAAACAAGGGGGAAAAAAGUAUUGUCUGCUCCAUAAAUCAAAUUGCAUCAUUGUAUUCAGUGGACCCGUCAUAAACUAAUUAACCAAGUCAUUAUUGUCACAAAUAAAAGGGCACGAAAAAAUAUUUACAAACCUCCAAAUAAUCAAUAGUUACAUGUCCAGUACCCUGGUCAUCCCACUUUCCAUCAUCAUUCAGACGGUACACCUUCACACGCUGAAAUCCAAUUAGAAGAGAGACUAAGUAAAAAGUAUUCAUUGAUAGGUGCCUCUCAACCAUCCAAAAAAAACAAUGUAUUCAUAUAUGCCUAUCAACCACUGAUGAUAUCAAUAUGCCAGCAAUAAAAACAGAUUCCAUGUAAGAACUCCAAAACGCCUAAAAUUGUAUCACAAUAUAUGUGGGGAAUGUGAGCAGGCUAACUACUUGCUCUUGUGAAAAUAGCUGAAAUCUAAAUCAUAAUGUGUCAGUAGACCUCCUAUUACCAAAGCCUAUACGAGGCGUAGACCCAACUAACAAGGCCCAGAUGUAGGUUUAAAAUAGAAUUAAGUUUGAACUUUGUGGGGAAUUGGUUUUUAUUAGGUUGUUUGGUUGGUUUGGGAGAUACUAGGUUCUCUAAUUCCUAGAGAUUGUUUCUAUAUCCAGCGGGUAUUGUUUGUAUAUUUGUGACAGUAAUAAUUAUUCCUUGUAAGUAACCACCUCUUGGAAGUUAUUCCCAGAGUAUGUGUAUUGCUUUAUUCAAUAGACAGUAUCAAUUCCUCAAUUAAUUCAUAAUAGAACCGGUAUCUACCAUAAUGAAUUUGAUAAAUUAUCUAUUCGUUUUACUUCAAAAAACAAUGAAGAGGGAGAGGACAACACAACUGGCAGUUGCAAACAAAACCAAAACUGAAAAAGAAAAAAUAUCCUAUGAGCCAAACGAAACAAUAAUGCCCUAACUUAUAAUUUCCCUUACACCCUAAUCAGAGGAAACAAAAUCAGGUGAACAAAAAGAAAGCAAUCUAAAACAGAAUUUACAUAGCGAAUAAAGAGAAGUUUAUUUUACGUAGACAGAAAUUGAUAAACACAAAAACUGAGACACAGAUCAAGCAUCAACAUCACAAAAUUAUUUUGGUCCCUUCUCUUUCUGUGAAGACUAUUCAGAACCUGUCUAGUGAUGGGAUAUUGACACCAGAUAGGAUAACUACUACCCUCGCUUGUAAAGGUAAGAUGCAUAGCCAAAAUUUAAGCACUAAAAGCAGUGUUAAUAUUAUUGAAGUUUUAGUGUAAAUCCUGUUCUUACUUACAACAUGUGAAUUUUGAGUAUUAAAAAUUGCUUCAUAAAUGGUUAAAACCAAUAACAGACCAGCCUACACAAGAAAUAAGGACAGUAAAAAAGUGGUGACAAUCAGGUAAAAAGUACAAUUUGAUCCUUCAAAGUGUGGGCAAAUGUUGCAUAUGGGGACAAACAGUGAAUUAAGGAUAGUAAGUAAUGAAAGACAUUCUUUUAUUCAAGUAUUGCUUAAUAUAGCAUGCUGCUCACAAACAAAAAUGAUGUGUGCAUUUAGCGACCACCAAGACUUAGGGUUUGUUUGGGAAGGGGAUUUCGGAGGGUUUUAGAGGGCUAAGUCUAUAUUUUAAUAUAUAUUUAACAUUUUAAAAAAUAAAAUGAUGUAUGAUCAUAUAACAUUACAAUCACACUUCAAUCAUUCUUAGAAAGAUUUUAUAGCUUGCUUAAUUUCAAAAAACAAAAACAAACUCUCCCCUCCCAAUCAGACCCUUACAGAACGGGAAGACUAUAAAUUGAACAAUAACUAGUGCAUUCCAAAUAUUAACUGUGACAGAAAGAGCAUGAGCCUCCUGCUAGCCAAAAAGUGGAUGAGGAGGCCUGAAGGUAAUGACAGAACUGUCAUCCUUAAGUUCAAUAUUUUAAUUAAAAUAACCAGAGGAUAAUUUCCACAAAAUUAAAUAUGGUUAAUACACCAACGAGCAUAUUUAUAUAUGCCCUAGCUUGUGCAACAGAAAGAAGGAAAAAAAAUAACUGAAACAAGAAUGGGCCUAAUGAUCCUGGCUUGUGCGGGGACUAGAAGGAGGCAGGGGAAGAGAGGAGGGGGGGGGGAAAUACAGAAUGUUCACCCGGGGGGGGGGGGUUGGGGAGNNNNNNNNNNNNNNNNNNNNNNNNNNNNNNNNNNNNNNNNNNNNNNNNNNNNNNNNNNNNNNNNNNNNNNNNNNNNNNNNNNNNNNNNNNNNNNNNNNNNNNNNNNNNNNNNNNNNNNNNNNNNNNNNNNNNNNNNNNNNNNNNNNNNNNNNNNNNNNNNNNNNNNNNNNNNNNNNNNNNNNNNNNNNNNNNNNNNNNNNNNNNNNNNNNNNNNNNNNNNNNNNNNNNNNNNNNNNNNNNNNNNNNNNNNNNNNNNNNNNNNNNNNNNNNNNNNNNNNNNNNNNNNNGGGAAAGAGAGGAGGGAGGGGGAAAAUACAGAAUGUUCACCUGGUGGAGAGGGAUUGGGAAGGAAGGAAUUGGGUGUUUGAAGGAAUGAUGCGCAAGAGUAUUCAUGUGGUGGGGGAAUAUAACUGCAUAGGCGUUUUUGGCAUUGUAAGGUUUUGGGUGGCGUUGUGGGUGAUGAUGAGAGUAGAGAGCUGAACACCGUCCGUUAUAGCCAAUUAUUCCAUCAUUACCAUAAUUGUAUUGGCGACUAUCCACUGUUUUUCCAUUAAUACAGAAGUUGAUUCAAUGUUAGUUCUUAAACUCUACAUUGAUUUUUAUCAGAUACCAACCAACGAAUCAGGCACGUAAACUUGUUGAUGGAUAUGUGCGUUAUGCUUCUACUGUGAACGGGGAAACAGUACCAUAUAAGUGACUGACUUAUUCCCACAAAAUAUUCCAACACAUAGUUAAUAUCAGAUUAACUGGCUCUGGUGCACACCAAUAACAAAAUUGAUAAUCCAAUUAAGAAACCACACAAUUGAUAGCUGGUAUUGCAAUUUCAAAAUACAUAAACAGAAACUGCUGGCUCAAGUUUAAUAAACCACGCAACACACAACGGAAGUACUAAAACGAAAGACAGAUGAGAGUUAAAGUGAAGUAAACAAGUCCUAAUGAAUUUCCGAAGGUAACACCUUAAGUAAACCAGAAUUCAGAAUCCUUCGACAAACAAAAUUCGAAGUUCGAACUCCAAAUUCCAAGCAACGUCGAAUAGUAAAAAUAAGCAUUCAUUAUUAUAAGAUAGCACCUAAGUACAUAUGAAGCCUUCAACAAACAAAAUCGAAGUUCGAACUUCAAACAACAUCGAAUAGUAAAAAUAAGCAUUAAUUAUAUUCUAGGGCAAAACUAAACGUUUCGAAUUGCAAUAGAACUAACUUGCCUGCAUCGAAUUAGCGUUGGCCUGUGAUUUCUCUGGUGCUCCCAUCACAGCUCCUCAAAAUUCAAAGCAAUAACGAGCAUAACCAAUCUUGAAGACACUAAAUUAGGGUUUUGAGGCGAAGGAGAAUGAGAGGGAAAACAAUUGAAGUGAAGGGAUUAAGUUUCGUUGGAUCAACAGGAAACCCUAACGGCCAUUGACGCGUGAAAUUUCUCUUCACUCUCGCUCUCUCUCUCUGCCCUCUUCUUUCUCUCUCCUGUUUUAAUAUAUUUUCUCUCUCUGUGCAAGACUGAACCCGACCUACGAUGAAGCACAAAAAGAAGUAUACAAUUACUAGCACAAUUUCUUUAUAUUGGAAUCUCGUAUUUGCCCCUAGUAUUCAGCUGAAACUACGAAAUUACCAUCGACACGCCUGGUCCAUGCCACAUUGGAGUUGCUGGCUUCCCUCACUUUCAUCUAAUACUUUUAUUGAUUAAAUAUGUUUAUCCUUUUCUAAAUUCAUCAACUCUUUUUUUUAAUCAUUUUAAUAAAUAAAAAAUCAAUUUAAUUCUUUUAAAUUUUUUGUUAUUAAUUUUAGUUCUUCUCUUUUUAUAAAAUUUUACUUUGUAUAUUUUAAAUAACUUUUUUUUUAUAUAUCAUUUAUAAGACUUUAAAAUGUCAUUAGUUUAAUUAUUUAAUCUUAAAUCUUUAUUAAUAUAUCUAAAAUUUCAUAUUAAAUAAUAAUAAUUUUAAAAUACUCUUUUAUAAAUUUAAAAAUUAUUUUUUUAUUUGAAAAUAAUAUUUAGUUAUUUAAAAUUAACCUAUUAUCUUUCAAAAUAGUGACGGAGGUUGAUCAAAAAACAUAAACAAUUGACCAACAAUAUGAGGUGAUUGACCGAUGUUUAAACCGGUGUGACUAUGGUUGUCAUACCCUAUCUCUUGUUUCUUAGUGAUUAUUUCAUUUGAUAUCGUCUCAUCACCAAUUGACAUACGUAGUGUGUAAUAGUUAAAUUAAGUGUGUGUUUGUGUAGAGUUUAUAUUAGUUUUGAAGUAAAAAAUCGUUUAAAGCAAAAAUAAAAUCACAUGUUAUUCGAAUUGAUUUGAAUAACAUAUUUAAAAAAAAAAUAAAUUGAUCCAAUCCAAUUACAAGUGGUUACAUUUAUAUCAAAUUUUUAAAUAUCAAAAUUUCAACCGUAGAAAAAUAUAUUAAUAUGAAUACCAUUAAAAUAUGGUAAAAUAGUAAGUUUAAUAUUAAAUAAAAAUUGAAUGUGCUAAAAUUUAACAUUGCGGAUUAAUAAUGACCGGUUUAUGUUUGAAAUAUAUUAAAUAGCAAAAAAAAAAACAGUAACUAAUAGUAUUAUUAUGGAAAAAAAAAUAAAAACUAUCAAAUAAUAUAUAAAUAUAAUGUAUCAUACUAAUAAAAAAAUUAAUAAGUAUUAUGAAUGCUUUGUGUAGUUUGGUUUGAUUCAAUUUUGAAAAAUGAAUUUGAUAAGAUAUGUGUUGUUUUCACAAAAUAACAUAUAGAAAUAUCCAAUAACAUUUGAUUUUGUGUAAUUUUUAGUUUUUUUUUUUUUUACCAGUUUGUGGUUUAUUUGGAUAUGAACGUCCUUGGUCACAUGGAAAACAAAGGAAUGUGGGUCAUCGUCCUCGAUACAUAAUCAAGCGGAGUGAGGUAGGUUAAAUGUAUACUCAACAUAAUAAUAUUACACGUGACAAUAUCAACAGAUGCAAGAUAGCGCAAUAGGAAUCAUAAUCAUUGACUCUUUUACGUUAGAUUCUUUUAAUUAUGGGUUGAUAUGGGUGUAGAGGCCACAUAUUACUCUCCAAACAAAAGUAUAUAGUUAGAGUGGUUUUCUAUUCAACGAAACAGCUUAGUGGUGUCUUGCAUUUACUUAAAAAAAUCCCUCAAGAUAUACUGAACUAUACAACUCUCAACAUGUCAACCUAUUUAAAUGCAACAUAAAUUCAUUGUUCAACAACGCUCAUCACAUAUAUGCAACUAAGUGUGUUACGACAAAUUAACAUUUAUCAUUGCCAUAUCAUCAAUAAGAACAAUAUUCAAUUUUAUUAACUUACUCAUAGAUUAAUAGUUUAACCUUAAUAUCUAACUUCUAAUUAGCAAUAAAUCUAAACAAAACUUGUAAUUCUAGGUAAUUAUUAAGAUAAUUAAUCAUUAUGACUUACUUUAAUCGACUACUCCUAAUAGUUUAUUCGACUAUUCUUAAAUUCAUUGGUUAAUGACAUAAUCUUAAUCGAUUAAUGUAUGAAUUAGUCAUUUUCUACGUUUGAUUAUUAACCUAUUCAUUUAUUAAGUCAUCCUUAAUCGAUUAAUAUAUGGUAUAUAAUAUAUUGAUCAUAUUUUACUGCUCUGAUCAGUUAUUUUCCAACUUCAAUUUAUGUUGGUUUUAUGCAUUACUUUAAUCUAUUAAUACUUUUUUUUUCACAUUUCAGUUAUUAUUUAUUAAUCUUAGCACCGAUCUAUCAACCAUAGACAAUAAUUACUAAUAUUGUAUAAAAAUAGAACAACGUGAAAUUUUCUAAAGUAUAAUCAUUUUUAAUUCCCAAACUAUCAACAUAACUCAAAAUACAACAUUCACAAAUUUCAUCAACAUAUAUCAUAGAAUCACAUGUAACACCAAUCAUUGACACCAAAACAUCGUCGUCAAAUGUCACAAUUUAAGUAAAAUUAAUAAAACAUUCUAAGAUAUGGUCUAAUGCCUAAAGAGCAUUAAGACAAUUCAUAUUUUAAUAGAUUAAAAUGAAGUUUGUUUAUUUUUAAUUUUCUUGUAAUAAUUAUUAGUUUAUUUUAAUUAAUUAUGUUACUUAUGAUCUAUUUUAAUUUAGAGAUAGUUUUGCUACAUAUAAACAUUUGUAGUAUAGUAUGAGACAUCUUGAAAGUGAAUAAAAAAAUAUUGUAACGACAAUUGCGAAAGUGAGAAAGCAUAUUAUUUGGUUAUUGCAUUAGAACUCUUGAUGUUUAUGGUAUAUAAAAUAUAGAUUAUCUUAAUACUCUUCGUGUCUCUAUCGUGGUCUAAAUAGAAAUCACACAGCGUUGAAUAUUAUCACAAAUGGUUCUAAAUACAUAAAGUAGUUGGUGCAAAUUCAGAUAUCAUGAAACACUACUAUUUAAUAAAUAUAAUCAUUCUACUUAAUAUAUAUAAAGAGUCAAACUAUACUUCAUAUUUUGAUUGACAAUUUCUCAUAUCACUUACUCGAUUGCAAAAAAGUACGACUUUUAUUAUUCACAAUAUAAAUGUUUGAAUUGAAUACAAAUAAAAAAAAGGUGAAUUUCAUAUGAAAAUAAGAAAAACGCAAAAUUUGAUGUGACUUUACCAAUUAAAAAUUAUUAUGAUCGACAAAUAAAACAAUACGAUUUAAAGCUCCUUGAACUAUAGAACAUUCAACAACAAAUGGAAUUGAAAUAGGUUUACAAUUAACAAAGAUACGUGUGUUUAUGGAUUUGUGAGACACUAAAAUUUACUAAGUUGAAAACCUACAAAUUUAUGAAGUUAAAAAGGGACUCAAAAUUGGCUAUACAAGACUUUAAAUAAUUAUUAUUUUUAAGUUUUGAGACAUUGAUCGAUUAAUCGAGUAAAAAUAGAAUCCUAUAGUAUUGAGUCAUACGUUAAUCACUUACUCUACCCAAACUAGUUGAUUGCUCGUUUUCUUAAUCCACUAAUGUUAUUUAUUAAUUGACUAAUUGUUUUAAAACAAUUAUAUACUAUUUCUACUUUGUCCAUGCUAUGGUUGUGUUAAUGUUUUUCAAUAUAGUAUAUCAUGAUAAUCAUAACACCAUCAUCAUUAAUUGAGUUUUAUGUAACAUUCACAAAUAACCUUUUUGGCCCUUACAUCUAAUAGAAUUUUGGAUAUGUCUAUGACUAUAAUUUGCUUUCGACAAUUUAUCACUAAAAGUAUCAUAAAUAUUUGUUAAUUGUAUCUUGAAAGCAUAAAUGAUAGUUAAUUUUGUUCUAUCUAAAACAAUACUUUUUUAAAAAUUGAGACAUAUUUUAUGAGUUUCAAACUUACUAUUAUUUUUUAACAUGCUUAGCGAAAUAUUUUAUGUGUUUAUCUCAUUAUCUAAUUCAAAAAUCUUCGUCAUUUUAAUGAAAUAUAUGCAGUCAUUAAAUAUAAAGUAGAGUUUUCAAACAAGACAUAUCAUAAAAUAAAAAGACUAAUUUUUCUUCAAAAUGAAAUAAUCAGAUAUAUAAUAAAAAUUGUACUUGUUUCAAAUAAAUUCAGCUUUUGAUUUGCCUUUUAAUGUGCUCCAACUUUUUUAUCUGCAGCACCUACUAUUUUUUGAGCAAAAUUUGGGAUACAAUUAAUUUUUUUGAGCUUUUUGAUGGAUCAUCUUCCACCCUUGCAAACAUUUGUGGGCCAAUGUUGUGACAUAAGAAAAUAACUGUAAUUAGCUAUUGAGAUUACAAAUUGGGUAAGAAUGACAACUUGCAGUUCUAACUAUUCCCCCUAACAAACAUCUCUAUCUUUGAUAAAAUUGUCAUAUUCUAUCCUAAAUUACACAAAUAAAAAAAAGCUUAUAAUAUAGACAAAUAAAUUAGUAUUUUUUUUUCUGCAUAUAAAUUAAUUUAGGGUAAUGCUAAGCACUUGUUAGAGAAUAAAAAUAAAAAUCAAAUUUUAUGCAAAAAAUAAAUAAAAAUUACUUUUAAAAUUCAAAAAUGAAUUACAACGGAGUAUAACAGGUGUUUCAACUCAAUACACGAAGUGCAAUAGCCACUCUGAAGGCAGUCAAACAGAUUAUUACAGUAAUUAGUGAAAACAUAAGCACACCACAAAAAAGGUUUACAUACUACUCAUAACCAAGACAAAAUGUUUGAUAUCAAAAAUAAUAUUACAUAUAUAUCCUUCACUUCAUUAUGUAAAAUGAUCUUGUUACUAGCUGACCAAAUACACUAGACAGUGGCUAACCAAAUCAAAUUUUUUCACAUUCUUCAACUUUUUCCCUUUGCUCAAAGAUUUAAACCAAAUAAAGUGUUGAUGAUCACCGUCGACACAAAAGUUUUCAAAAAAAAAAAAAAAAAACUUGAGAAGGUACCUUAUUUUUCCAAAGUGUUUGCAAAUCCUUAAGCAAAGCUGGGUAUAAUACUUCAUUGAAGUUGUUAUGGUUAAGAGCAUUAACAUCUCUUUACAGUAAAACUAUGUGUUUUAUCAUCAACAAUCUAAAUUCAUUGAUCACACACAUCAGGAUUAAGAUGUAUCACAUCAAACAUAUCAUGAAGCUCAUUAAUAUGCCACAUUGAUAUCAUCCAAUUGUUACUUCUAACAUAAAUUAACUCAAAUUAUCGUCUCUUAAAUCUUUGUAGAUUGAUUAUCUUACAAAACAGAUAUUUGAGGAAAUAAAUUGCAUAAGAGAUUUCCCCCACAACACUUGUCUCUCCAAAAGUUAAUAUUGUUCCAAUUUUCAAUAUUGCAACAAAUUUUAGAAGCAAGCCAAUUAGGUUAUUCUAAAUAAGCGCCACCGGAUAUCAACAAGUUUCGCCACUAGAUUGAAUCUUUUGAAUGAGUUACACAAAUAUUAUGGUAUACAAUUUUAGAUAGUAACGAACUAUACAUGAAAUUAAAGACGCCAUACAAAAUAGUUUUUCGACCAUAAAGUAUUUGCCACUUUUCGCUUUUGGUCUACAUAUUUUAUUCCAUCUAUCCCAAUAAUUUUUCUUUGAGCCUCUAUUCCACCCCAAAGAAAGUUUCUCUGUAUAUUGAACAACUCAUUAAUAACCUUUUUUGAGCCUUAUAAAACGAUAAAAAAUAAAGAGGAACGCUACUCAACACCAAAAUGAUCAAAAUAAUCUACCAUCCACUGACAAAUUUCUCUCAUUCAAAUAACUUAAUAUUUUUCUCAUAUUCUCAAUGACAUGUAGCCAAGUUAUAUAAUGCAUUGGAUUGCCUCCCACUGGCAAGUCAAUGAACUUAAAUGAGAUUAAUCUAUAAGCACAUGAUAAAAAGGUGGAGAUAGCUUUCAACAAAUUUUCGUCAAUACCAAUACUAAAGAGUUUACUUUUACGAAUAUUAACUUUUAACCUAAAAGCCAUUUCAAAACUUAUAAGAAUAGUUUUGAUACACCAUAAAUUUUCCCAAUAACCUUCACAUACGGAUGGUAUCAUCAACAUAUUGGAAAACCCGAAAUCCCACGAAUACCUCUUGUUGAACAGCGAACCAAACCAACCAAACUAAUCAUUUAGAAACAAUAAAGAACAAAAAAAGACCAAAAGAAUCCCGUGCCUGAGGCGUCUUCCCACUGAAAAAUUGUUGGUCAGACUGCCAUUAUCAACUAAAAAAAAAUUAUUUUAGAAAUAAGAGAUUAUAGGAAUAAUAACUUAUUUUAAACUAGAAACCAACAAUUUUACAAUAAUUUUAUACCAUCAUCCUAUCAAAUAAAUGGGCCUAAAAUCAUUUACUAGGUGAUCCUAUUUAGAGAUGAAAGCAAAAAAUGCAUGUUACAGCCAUAAGUAAAAUUUACUACGAAAUUCAGACAAAAGCAACCACAUCCUCCUUAAUGAUAUCCCAGCAUUAAUAAAACCUACAUCUGAAAAAAUGAGUAUUUAUUAUCACAAAAUAAUAACAAAACAUAUAAAUAUUGCCCAAAUAAGUAGGUGCAGUACUAGAUUAAAAAGCUUUUAUUAUUAAUAUAAAAAAAAAAGUACUAUAGAAAGUUUUAAUGAAAAAGUGGUUUAUGGUUUAUCCGCCGCUCUUUGUUUACUCCGCCAGCUUCCUAGCUUUCUUAUUUUCCUCCUAACUCCUAACGGACUCCACGAGGUCCUUCUCUUUCUUUUAUACAUUCUUCCUCAGAUCUCUCUUCUCUUUCUCUCUACAUCUUCAUUUCCCCAUUUCUACUCUCUCCUCUCCCUCAAAAUGCAAUCCUCUCUCUCUCUCUCCCUCUCUCCCGCCAUCGUAUCCAGAUCACAUCCCUCUUUUACAGUCUCCUCUGUCAAGCCUCUCAACCUCAGCUUUUGCGGUUUAAGACGCGAAGCGUUGGGAUUAGGUUUUGCAACUUCUCUUAACCGUAAUCUCCGCCAGCUUCCUCGCCGCCAACACUCCGCGGUAGUAACCGCUGCGGCAUCUGACAAUGGCAGCACUUCUGGAUCCUUUGAUUAUGAUUUGUUGAUUAUUGGUGCUGGUGUUGGUGGUCAUGGUGCUGCGCUUCACGCUGUCGAGAAGGUUUGAUCUCAAUAUUCUCAUUUCAUUUCACCUUUUUAUUACGAGAUUCAUAAUUAUUUCAGUAUUUCACAGUCAAUUUUGCAACUAAAUCAGUAAAUAAGUUCAAACUUCAAAGCGACACUGACGAUAUGCUCAUAGAAAUUCAUAUGUAAAUGAUUAUUACUUACUCCGUCACAAGAUUAGUGUCACGCGUACGGCUCAUUUCACAUAUAUUAGGAAAAAAGAAUAAUCAUUUUACCAAAUUAUUCUUCUUAACUAUUUGACGUGUUUUUCAUUAUCAUAAAUGCAGUGUAGAGUUAAAGGUUUGAAAGUAGUAUACAUAGUAAUAAUUGAAUGAUACAAUUGAAAAUAAUAAUUAAAGUUACAAUAAAAAUUGAGAAUGACAUUCAUUUUUGGGAUAAAUUUUUCUUGCUAAAAUGACACUCAUUGUGAGACGAAGAUGGAAUACUAUCUAUAUGAUAAAUCAAGUAAUUUUAAUUGUUAAAUGCUGAUUAUUAUGUGAUAAAGUAAGAUGAAUCAUAAAUGUCACAUUUUUUGCGAGAGUGAAUUUUGAUAAAGCAGUGAUUGCAGGGACUGAAAACAGCUAUAGUGGAGGGAGACGUGGUGGGAGGGACAUGUGUAAACAGAGGAUGUGUUCCUUCUAAAGCUCUUUUGGCUGCUAGUGGUCGUAUGCGGGAACUAAAGAGUGAUCAUCAUUUGAAGUCUUUGGGUAUACAUGUAAGAAUGUUACGUUAUAAGGCUCUCUUAAGUCUAUUUUUGUUAUUAGAAUUAGAAUUAGAAUUUAGAAUACUAAUGCGUGAUGAAGAGAGGUGUAGAGUAAGUGCAGUUGCAUGUGAUGUUACCUUUGUAUGUUUGGAUUUUUUCAGGUUUCUGCUGCUGAGUAUGACAGACAAGGAGUAGCUGAUCAUGCUAACAAUCUUGCUUCAAAAAUCCGUAGUAAUUUGACCAACUCUCUAAAAGCGAUUGGAGUAGACAUACUUACUGGUUUUGGUACUAUAGUGGUAGGUGGCAUAUAAAUACUAUUAUGCAAUCUAUGCUUUGUGAACAUGCGAUUUGAUUCACAACUUAAAUUAUUUUUUAAUGUUUCAAGCACAUUAUCAGUGAAUGGAAUGGAACUAUCUGUUUCCUGAAAUGGCAGAAGAAACUUUUUACAUUUUCAUUUGCUGCCAUGCAUGAAUCUGUGCAGGGUCCUCAAAAGGUGAAAAUUGGCUCUUCAAACAGCAUAGUAACUGCAAAAGAUAUCAUCAUUGCCACUGGUUCUGUUCCUUUUGUUCCUAAGGGUGUUGAAGUUGAUGGUAAACAUCAAUCUUUUCCUUUCAUGUUAUGAAUAUUUGAUGCUCAUUCUAGUUUUACAUGAUUUAGUUGACUUCUGGUCUUUCAUUUACAAAAAGUAGGACUAAACUCUAGAAAAAACUGAAGUCCUAUGAAAGGAAAAAAGGGAUCAAUUUUCCAUUAGAGAUAUGUUUUGGUUAAUAGUAUAUAGAAUAAUAUCGGAGAUAAUUAAUUUGGUUUUAUGACAGGGAUGUAAACCGUGAAAGCAAUAUAUCUUCUAAGAAGAUUGAUAGAGGUAUACCCUAGGAAUCAAAAUGACUUGUGCAUGGUUUUUAUUGCUUUGGAGAAGGGAUGGUUAGGAUGCCUAGAGAGAGAGGUUUUGUGGAUGGUUUUUGAGAAGAAAAUAGUUCAUAUUGCUUAUACUCAAGCAAAUUACUAAUAUUCAUAGUAAGGUUAUAACAAGUGUGAGAUCUGUGAAAACAUGGUAGGCCACAUAUGAUAACUAUAAUACCAAUUUUCAGCUGAGUCUGAAUUUUUUAAACUUGGUCUUGAAUAUGCUUAUUAAAUAUACUUACAAGCCAGUGACAUGAUGCGUACCUUUUGAAGAUAAUAUAGUCCGAGUUGGAGAGAGGCAAUGUAGUCAAAUUGCUGUCAUGAUGUUAUGGCAUAGCGGAUUCUUUGCCCAAUUGCUAGAGGCUGCAACAGCUAUUAUAUCAGCCACGUUUCCCCCAUAGCAACACCAUGUUUAUAUGGUCUAUUUUUGGCUUGCUGCCAUUGUCCUUCAUCUGCCACUGAUAACGUUUGAGAGAAGUGAUAAACUGAGAUGUAGAGACAAGCUUUCAAAGCACAUGAAUUUUAUUUAAAGUAAAUGCAGAAAAUGAAGUAUACGAAGCAUAAGUUUACUGGAGGGGCAGUAAUUAAAACUUAGAGGUGAAAGAUAGAGAUUAUACCGUACCUCAAUUCGCAUUUUGUAGGAACCUUGGGUCAAUCACAUGUCAUACAAAAUGACAAAGAAAUAGAGAGAGAUGUACCUAUAGAUGGAAUCAUCCCCUUGAAAAUGCAAGGUAAUACUGCCUACAAAAGAUUCACACUGGGUUUGACCCUUACUUGAACCUCACCAUGGCUGGCACUCUUCAGCAUCAGCCAUCAGGUUGCCUUUUUUAGUUUUACUAUAAGUUUUGUAAUUUUGCAUAAGACUGAAUGUUGGACAGUGAAGAGUCAGGAGGUAAAUAAGUUCCAUAUUGCAAAUACGGUGACAUUGCGAAUGAUGAGUAUGCAAAUAAGACAAGAAAGGAUUUAGAAUGAAUGCAUUGGAGAGAAAGUUGGGUAGCACAUAAUACAUAUUGCGGAUAAGACCUUUAGAAGUUCUAGUAAAGAGUGUAGAUUAGUUGGAUAGUAGUCGAAUAGUUAGAAGAAGAUGGAGGCCAAGAACAGUUAUAUAAAUUUAUAAUCAAAUAUGAGGGAUUUUAAGUUUAAAUGGUUUGUUUUUAGAAAUGAUUUACCAUAAGAUAUUAUUAGCGUCAUUUGAUUCAUGUAGUCAACUCUGCCUAUCGGAUAAAUGCUUUGUUGUUGUAGUAUAUAGGAUUAUAGAGUCCAAUGAAAUGUACAAAGGGGAUCUUAGUUCAGCAUGUGACGGAUCUUCUAUUUCACACUCUAAAAUAUCAAUGUUGACUCAUACAGUUGUAUCAAUCUUCAGUAGCUUUUCCAGUCCAUGUGGUUAAGGGACAUCAAGUAUAGAAAAAUAGCCAUUAUCUCUGCAACAGUGGAAAAUUUAAGAAAAAUUCCCUAUAUCCUAAUUUGUACUCCCCCCCCCAAGUAUCGAUGUUCAAUGUAUGAUUUACCUUCCAUGUAAUUCGAAAUUUUAAAAAUUCUGUCUGGUCCUAAGGUUUGUCAUGAGGAAAUCUUCUUUCUUCUUUAUGACCUACAUUUAAUAAUCUCUUGAUUUCUUUUUAAGUUUUAUUGGCUGUGAUCAUUUCUUAAUAAAAAAAUUCAAACUGUCACCUCUAGGGAAGACUGUGAUUACCAGUGACCAUGCACUCAAACUGGAGUCUGUUCCUGAUUGGAUAGCAAUUGUAGGAAGUGGGUAUAUUGGCCUUGAAUUCAGUGAUGUAUAUACGGCACUUGGAAGUGAGGUGACACAUCUUUGUGAUACUUAUACUUUAUUUUCCACUAUCCUUUGUUCAUGAGAAAUAUUUGCAAAAAAUUGACUAUUAUCCAUUGAAAUCAGAAACUUAUGUUUGUGUUGCAAAUCAUAUUGUUGUUGUUAUAGUUUUUAUUUUUUUCUAGAAGUUAACAGAUAUAUAAUCUUUAUAUUAUUUCCAUAUAAUAAAAGUUAGGCUUCUAGUUUAUUGUAAGUUACGUAAUUAUUGGUAUUAUGCAGGUUACUUUUGUUGAAGCUUUAGAUCAGCUUAUGCCUGGAUUUGAUCCUGAAAUCAGCAAGCUGGCUCAGAGGGUUCUUGUAAAUCCCCGUAAUAUUGACUACCAUACUGGAGUUUUUGCAUCCAAGGUAACUACAUCUUUUAAUUUAUUGAUUCAGUUUUUAUUGAUUGGCUACUUUGACAAGCCAAGUCCUCACAUUUUCCUUAUAGAUCACUCCUGCAAGGGAUGGAAAACCUGUCUUGAUUGAACUUAUUGAUGCAAAAACCAAGGAACCAAAGGACACUUUGGAGGUAACUUAAUCUUUUUAUUAGAAAGAUUUCAAGUAAACUCAUUGUUCAUGUGUUAAAUGUGUUAAGCUGAAGUGCCAAAGCUUCUGGUAGUUGAUUCAAUAAAAUCAGAUCUUAUUUUUAAACCCAUAAGUGCUUAAUGUACUGGCUAUAUGUUUAGCAUAUGAGUGCAUCAAACUGCACUGAAGCAGAAAAUCUAUAUGACUGAUUCACAAUUAGAUUCCACUUCUUUCUCUUUUUUCUUGCUUUGCUAAGGGGUCAGUUUUCCAUGCUUAGUUUCAGAGAUAGCACCUUCUGUACUAUGUUAGUUCACCUCUUGUUUACCUGUGUAUUUUAUUUGGAUUUGUUACAACUUACAAGCUAUUUUCUUUACUUUGUUACAGGUGGAUGCUGCACUAAUAGCAACUGGAAGGGCUCCAUUCACACAAGGCCUAGGACUGGAGAAUGUAUGUAUUUCUAACGGAAAUGUGUUUUAUCAUAGGAAAUUUUUCCUGAAGGAAAUGAAUGUAUAUAUUUGUAUAUUGUUCGUACAGGUUGAUGUAGCAACACAGCGAGGUUUUGUUCCUGUGGACGAGCGCAUGCGUGUAAUUGAUGCAAAUGGCAAGCUGGUUUGUCCGAAUUUCUCAUGCACUAAUUAUCUUUUAUCUGACAUAUUGUUACUGAUAUAGGAUGUGGAAUGAUAGGUACCUCAUUUAUUCUGUAUUGGCGAUGCAAAUGGAAAGAUGAUGCUUGCUCAUGCUGCCAGUGCUCAAGGAAUUUCAGGUAAGUGGAAACUGAUGUCAAUUUUCCAUUAAUAUAUAUAUAUAUUUUUUUUGCUUCAGUUUAACCUUAUUAAAAAUAUUCUGACAGUGGUUGAACAAGUCACUGGAAGAGAUCACGUGCUCAAUCAUUUAAGUAUCCCAGCUGCAUGUUUCACUCAUCCUGAAAUUAGCAUGGUUGGAUUGACAGAGGUAUAUCAGAACUCGGCACUCCAUUUUUCAACUCUGCUACCCCCUUUGCCACUAUGUUAUUCAUACAAUAAAACUACUGUUUGUUGUCCUUCAGUUGAAAUUCUUAUGUGUUAUGACCUAACUUAAAACUUGCAGCCUCAAGCAAGGGAGAAAGGUGAAAAGGAGGGGUUUGAAGUCAGUGUUGCUAAAACAAGUUUUAAAGCUAACACGAAAGCUCUAGCAGAAAAUGAAGGGGAGGGACUUGCCAAGGUUAUAUUUUUGUAUCUUGCUCCACCAAUGCUCAUUAAAGUGUUAAAUGCUUUUGAUGAAUUCUUUACUAAAGAAUUUCUUUGGUGGUACCAAAAUUAUUUGGUCAUGACAGUUGUUCAACAUUCUUAUCCAUCUUUUUAUCUGGAUUUUUGUGUGUUCAUAUACAGGCUUGACAUUGCUAACUGUCAUUUACAUUGUGAUGCAGUUGAUAUACAGACCUGACAAUGGAGAAAUCCUAGGAGUUCAUAUUUUCGGUUUGCACGCAGCAGAUCUCAUCCAUGAAGCAUCCAAUGCUAUAGCAUUAGGGACACGUAUUCAAGUAAUUUUUCUACCGACUGAUACUGUAAUUUAUACACAGUGACGCACCUGGGUUUUAGACUAUUACUAGUCACCAAUGUCUCUUAUUGUGUUCUCCAAUCUAUCUACUAAACCUCGUCGUUUUGUGGUACCAUGCAGGACAUAAAACUUGCAGUUCAUGCACAUCCAACUCUGUCUGAGGUUCUUGAUGAGCUAUUUAAAUCAGCAAAGGUGAGAUAAUCCUUAAUGUAGUAUCAACAUGUUAUUGAGUGUAACGUACAACAUCCCUAUUGACUUUAUAUUACACACACCAUAGAGCUAGUUCAUUGUAACACCUGCAUUAAUAUGCGUUCUCUUCUACUAUUGAGGCAGGUUAAAGCACACGCAUCAAUCCCAGUAAGUGAACCAGUUGCAGUCUAAUCUUCCCAAACAAAGUAUAAAUUUUUGAAGAAAUUUGCUUGUAUUAGGGACUUCCGAAAUAUUCCGCAUCUUCGGGCGUAAGAAGCGAGCACAUUCAAAAUCCUGUAAAAGAAGGGAACCGUUUGAGGGAGAUCACCGCCAGCCUGAUAAUGGAUUGCCGCAGAAUAUUACUUGUAUUGAUACAUUUUUUUCUUAAUAUUUUUAGUGCCUGUCAAAGAUACUUAUAUCUAUUAUUAUUGUUCUUUUUAAGAUAGUUUGCUCUUCCUAGUAGUAGUCAUCGAGGAGGCCUUUGAAAGUGGCCUAUUUUUUCAGUGGUUUUAGUCUUGCAACCAAUACAUGUACCAUAACAAUUUAACAAAUUUAAUAUUAUGAUAUCAAGUGUUGGCAACUCAUUCUUUCUUUCAACUUCUAUGAUUAAUGAUUCAAAAUUAUGCAAUUGUUUAUUACACUUUGGUAAUGAUAAUUAAUUAAUCCCUCCGUCCAUUUAUUUAGGGGACUCUUUGUUUCAAGUAUAAUAGUUACAUUCUCGAGAAUAGAUGAGUGAAAAAUUAAUAUACUCAUGUUUGUUAUAAAGUUUGGAAAAAAUUAUUCCUUGGUCUAAAGGUUCCAAAAUAUAGAAUAACUUCCCAUAUUCCAAUGCUUCUGUUUCCAUGAAAUGAGGUGAUAAUAAAAGCUUCAUAUGACGCUGGGAAUAAAACUAAUGUAACUUCCUAUCACUCCACUUCAACAAAUUAUUUUACGUAUCAUAUUUCUUAAUAUACUAAUUAUAAAAAAAAUUAUAAUAUACUAAUUAUAAAUAUUUUACGUAUCAUAUUUCUUAAUGAUCAAUUAAUUAAAAAAUGGUCAAUCACAUAACAUAUCAAAUCAAACCAUUAAUAGAGAAUACGCAUUGCUUACUAGUAUUUUUUGUAUUCGCUUGUUAUUGCUUACUGACAUAAAACAUUAAAACCUUCACUUAGUCUCAGUAAUUUACUUUUUCAUGUGAAAAAUUUAAGUUCCAAGUUUUUAGAAAAAGUAGAAAAUCUGAAAUUCAAGAUUUAAAAAAAAUUAUAAAUUCAGAAAAUAUUUAAGUUUCCUUUAUUUAUUUAUUUAUUUAUUAAUAAGUUCCAUUUUUUUAUAAUUAACAUAUUAAUAUUUGGGCUUGUCUAGAGUUUGCAGAUUCAUUUUCAGAAGGGCCAAGCCCGCCUUACCCUCAUACUUCGGUCCAUAUAUAUAAUUCCUCUAUUUCUUAAUUUCCCUUUACCUACACAGAAAACCCUAGCCCCCAUUUGUAUCUUUGAAUUUAGGGUUAGCUCCUUCACUAUUUCUCUCGCAUUUCACUCCCUAACAAUUCCCCUUGUUUAAUUCUGUUUGUGUUUGUUGAAUUUCAGAGAUGGCGAAGUCAAAGAAUCACACAGCUCACAACCAAUCUUACAAGGCACACAA
rnacentral:lncRNA from 1 species